rnacentral:lncRNA from 1 species
GGAAAAACUCAGAACUCGCAAGUGGAAAAUUGUACUAUAACGAAAAUCUUGGCAUAGUAUUCCCUACAAGUUAGUGGUAGUUGAAUCACCGCAAAAACAGUGCAUUAUUUUUCAAUAUGUGCCAUUUUGCUUUAUUUCCAGAGGUUAUCAUUGCAAAAAUUCACAUCCUUUCGGCCAUCACUCGCUCCAGAGUAUUCUUGAGACUAUAAUUGCAGACUUUGAACUAACUGUAAGUCGAAGACCUUUUGAAACCUUAGCUUUAAAGUGUAUCCUUUACGUUCCAGAAAAUGGACAAAAAAACUUGUAAAGAAGAACUGCAAUUGGUUGUGCAUGACUUCAGCCUUUCGUUGGAGGAACCUUUGCAUUUGCUGUACUCUAAAGGAAAGCUGAAAUCUGCAAAUGAAAUUUUAGAGAAGCUCCUUAAAUGCCUGCCAGGUCGGUACGAUGGAAAGAGCAAUGUCCUCGAGUUUAUCGUACAGGUAGAGGAGUGUGCCCAAGCACACGAAAUAGAUUUAGACGAUAUUUUAGGGACGAUGCCCCUGGUAUUGGCGGACCGUGCACUCGAGUGGUGGGUCCAAUUGCCACCAAUCGCCACUUGGAACUCAUUUAGCGAUGCUUUAUUAAGAAGCUUUCCACCAGAAGGGAGAGCGCUGAAAUGGCAAAAUAGGCAACACAAUUGUCAGUGCCUUGAUAAACACAGGAUCAAGGCAAAGCGUAAUUGGAAGAGACGUUGCUUUGCAGCUGGUCAACAGUCACACAUUUAUCCACUACUUUGUCAUACUACCAGAAGUGGAGGCUGUUAUUGUUCUGGGCACUGUCUAACAGCAAACACCACAAGUGACGAAGAGCUAGCUUUAGAGCAAGUUUCCACAUCCACGGAUAGAGUUCCAGCAGAGCCAGACAGCCAGGCCGAGGAGCUGACAAGGCUGACAAUUCCAACAAUCAAUCGCCGAAAUGGCAGGCUACGCAGCGCCUCAGGAAAUGCAAGAAACUAGAUAAUAAUCAUAAAUGAUAGCUAAUAAUUAGAUAUUAAUAAUAAAUGUACCUUGCGGGCAAGG